GGACGAUUAGCUCAGUUGGUUAGAGCGUCUCGUUUACACCGAGAAGGCCGUAGGUUCGAGUCCUACAUCGUCCA
rnacentral:tRNA from 1 species